AUUGAACGCUGGCGGCAUGCCUUACACAUGCAAGUCGAACGGCAGCACGGGCUUCGGUCUGGUGGCGAGUGGCGAACGGGUGAGUAAAGUAUCGGAACGUACCUUUCAGUGGGGGAUAACGUAGCGAAAGUUACGCUAAUACCGCAUAUUCUGUGAGCAGGAAAGCAGGGGAUCGCAAGACCUUGCGCUGAUGGAGCGGCCGAUUUGGGAUUAGCUAGUUGGUGGGGUAAAGGCCUACCAAGGCGACGAUCUGUAGCGGGUCUGAGAGGAUGAUCCGCCACACUGGAACUGAGACACGGUCCAGACUCCUACGGGAGGCAGCAGUGGGGAAUUUUGGACAAUGGGGGCAACCCUGAUCCAGCCAUGCCGCGUGAGUGAAGAAGGCCUUCGGGUUGUAAAGCUCUUUCGGCCGGGAAGAGAUCGCAUGGGCUAAUACCCUGUGUGGAUGACGGUACCGGAAUAAGAAGCACCGGCUAACUACGUGCCAGCCGCCGCAGUAACAC
rnacentral:rRNA from 1 species